AAAUUGAAGAGUUUGAUCAUGGCUCAGAUUGAACGCUGGCGGCAGGCCUAACACAUGCAAGUCGAACGGUAACAGGAAGAAGCUUGCUUCUUUGCUGACGAGUGGCGGACGGGUGAGUAAUGUCUGGGAAACUGCCUGAUGGA
rnacentral:rRNA from 2 species